GCAAUAAUACAGAGAAACACGGGGUGAAUUCAAAAGAUCUACAAGACUCUGGCUACACCCGCACGAGAACCGAGGGUUAAUAAACUAUUAAUACAGGGUCUCUUAAGUAAACUAGGCACGACGAAGGGGUACAAUGCAUUAUGGGCCGUCAGAUCGUCCAUCAAGCUCCCAGAUUAGAUCAUUCUUCUUAAAUGCUCCCACACUCUCAACCGGUUGUUGGAUCAUAAAUCGAUGGCACCGAUUAGGUCUUCUUCUAAGUGAACCGGUACGAGAACAGGUCCAUCCAAUCCCCAUCCCAUGGUUCACAUUCGACAAAGUGAAGAGGUAUGCUUCAGCUUGAUCUCCACUGUCCAGUGAUAGAUCGACGGGCCAGGACCUUCCAUCCUCCUCUACUCACCAACCAAAGCUCACACAUGCGGUGCAGGUCACCCUGCGGUGGCGCCAUUGCCGUGGCCCAGGAGUUCGUACGCUUAAACACCAAAAUUCCAAACCGCCCGCAGUCACGCAAAGGAAAUGGCAGGGAGGACCACGUGGAGGGUUUCUUACCGUGAGUUGUGCGCACCGAGGCUUGGUCCAGUCGAGAUUAUGGCACCGCAGCAAGACCCACACCGGCAAAGAAACUCCAUGGUCCGAGGCUGCCCACGUCGAAUUGGGGUUUCACAAAGCCUCCACGCACGACCUUGCAUCACCCCUAGAAAGUCUUCUAGGCGAUUCCCAAGGAUCGAGCACCGGUGUAGGCAUGCUGUGGUGCGUCGCCCGCCACUGGUAAUGGUUUCCUCACGGAAAGAGGCAAGCGAUCCAUCAGGCUAGCACCAUCGACAUUGGCGAGAGGGUGGAGGAUGCGUUUUAUGCUCCCGUAGGCAGACUCCGCUCCCGAGGAACACUGCUGAGAGGAUAGAGGGCAGAUACGAG
rnacentral:lncRNA from 7 species